GGCUCUGUUCCUCUGUCCACUGCUGCAGGUGUAUGCUGGAAUUUCUAGAGUAUCCAGACAGCCGAGAGUCCCCAUUUCUCACCUCUAGCUGCUGCUGGAGCUGACCCAGCUCCCAGCGGACUCCAUUGUUCUCCUGACUCACUUUCUCCCUGAGGCUCUUCUCAAACAUUGACUCCCCCAGUGCCUGGGCCAGCUGCAAGUCAAACCUGCGCAAAACAGAGUGGACACAUCAGGGAACCAAUGGGAACUUGGCCAGGCUGCAGUGAGGGGUGACUGAGACACACACAGGAAGCCCUGCAGUUCCAGCAAUCCUGGUGUGGCACCUGGCACGUGGACAUUAUUGACAAGGACUCCCUGUAUAAAACCAUCAUCACAGCUGCUGUCUUCCAUAGCCCCAGGCUCCCAAGGAAGCCAAUCAUAGCUCUCCUUAGAAGGCCCUGGAACAUCCCUGAAGCAUUCUGAUUGGCUGUUGGUGACAUCAUUUCAGAGGUUUUUGUCUGCUGCCCCUGAAUCUUGAGAAUUGUGAUAAGCAGGCAGUUCCAAAAUUCUGGGCCUUGGGCUGGGGUCUCUGCAAGGACCCCACAGAAGGAGAAGGGGCAGCUAAGUGGGAUGCAUGGAUGAAACGGAAGUUCAUAACUCACGUGUCCAAACACGCCUAUGGGGGCCAGGGAGUGGAAUGUGGUGUUUGAGUAUUUUUGGCCCAUGGGAAAUGGCACUACUUGGAGGUGUGGCCUUGUUGGAGGAAGUGCAUCACUGUGGGGGCGGGCUUUGAAGCUCCGCCCAGUGCGGAGGAGUCAGUUUCUUCCCGCUGUGGUCAGAUCAAGAUGUAGAACUCUCAACUCCUCUAGCACCAUGCCUGCCUGGACGCGGCCAUGCUCCCGUCUUGAUGAUAAUGGGACUCUAAUCUCCGUCUUGAUGAUAAUGGGACUCUAAUCUAAACCUCUGAACCUGUAAGCUAAGCCCAAGUAAAUGCCACGUCCUUUUUUAAGAGUUGCCUUGAUCAUGGUGCCUCUUGACAGUAAUGAAGCCCUAAGACAGAAGAAUUGGUUGAGCCCCAGAUUCCACAGUGGCAGAAGUAACCUUGAACCCAGCUUCCCUAGCCUUGCAGCCAAUCUACCUGUCCAUGCCCUGGGUCAGGGAAGAGUUCUCGUCUUAACACAACACCCGACGCCAAAGAAAGGCUUUUACAGACCCCGCCCCCAACUUCUGGAACACAAGUUUGCGCACACACCCUUCACUCCACCUGGCCAGGCCUUCCUAGGGCACAAUCUCAGGAGGUGCAGGGUCAGUGGGGGUGGGGGUAAUACAGGGUUCUCCCCAAGAACUCUGACAGCUCUUGGAAUGAAGCUUUGUGACCCAUGCAUAGAGUAUCUAUGGCAACGAGACUCCCACAGCAGAUGGAAGCAUUCUGGACCUUUUGACGGAAAAGCCAGGAUGGGGAUGGUGAAUUCUCAUAGCAUGGAGUAGUGGACAGUGGGGGUAGCGGUGUCUGGGGUUGAGAAGACCGUGGAGAGAUACACAGAAGUGUCUCCAGCUUCCAGAACAUUCUAUAUCACUAGAGGUGCUCAGGCAAUGUGUCCAUCGAAUCUGGACUUCAGCCACCCUAUGGUACCCUUUACACCAUUCAUCUACCUAAAAGAUCUGUGUGUGUUCUUGGGAAUUUGACAUCAAAAACCACUUCUAAUCCAGAGUUUAUGGUGGAGAGAGGGACCCUACAGGCAGGUCAUGGUUCCUACUCUGCUGGUUCUCUAGCAGCACCCGCGUGUCCUCCAGGUCCCAAGUGAGGUGGUGACACUUCCUCUUCAGCUGGUGAGCCAUCUUCUUGGCCUCUUCAUACGCACUCUGCAGCUCCCCAAGCUAUGGAGAGAAGAGAGUGAGAGGUUCGCUGGUGCCCCCUGUUUCCAAGGUCAGCAGCCAUGGAUGCUGGGAGAGAGAGGACCUCAGAGGAGUUCCUGUCAGUGUCAGGAAGCCGCUUCCCCAAGCCCCUCUUUGUUGGGAGGUAAUUCCCAGCUCACUUUGUGGUUGUUUCUACCUCCCAGGUCUGAGGAGCAGGCAUGAGCUCCUACCCCUGGCUCGGCAAAGUAAUUUGAAACUGACUGUGGGAGAGCUAAGGAGUACCCUGGGAAUCUUUGACAUUUGCCUUGAAUGUGAGGGUAGAGCGACAGCCAGAGAGUGAGCGGACCAAUGAGUGGAGACGCCCGAAGACAAGUCAAGGGGCCAGAUGGUCACAGUGAACACCCAGACAGGAGGAGAGUUGAUGUUGCUAACAAUGAGCUGUGCUCUCAGGAAAGAAGGGAGAGAGGGGCCUGAUGGUGCAGGCCUGUCACCCCGGCUGGCUGAGGAAGGAAGAUCACAAGUUCAAGGUCACCCUGGACAAUAUGGCAAGAUACUGUCUCAGAGUGAAGUUGAAGCUUUGUGGCAGAGCACUUGCCUUGCCUCGCAUGCACAAGAGAAGGCUAUGUUCAGUCUCCAGCACUGAGACAUAAAAAGGGUGGGUGCUCCAGGAUCUUAGGUCUGUCCGGGCCUUCAUCUCUGAGUCCAAUCUCUCCUCGCACUGUUGAAGGCGCUUGCGUAGGAAAUCGUUCUCCAUCUGAGCACAGUCCAAACGCAUCUGCCACUCGUCUGCUGUGUGACAGAGUCGGCAGCUGGCUCCAUUCAGCAGGAGAGAAUCCACAUCAUAGUGGGAACUGGACAAAGAUGUCCCGAUCCCAUCCAACCAUGAAUGCCAAGUCCCUAGGCAGUGGCAUAACCAGUGCACUGAUGCUGCCUGCCUCUCACUGGGCAGUCACUCUGAGAGUCAGCCUCAACUUGAUCAUGUAUGUGAAAGCAUGCAGAGCCCGUAUUCCUCAUGAAGAGGUAGCUGAUGGCUAUGGGUUAGUCUACUCCAUAUGGCCCAGCUCUGCUUGUUCAUCAUCUAGGACCAGCUACACUUGAAUGUGAAGAAUCUGGGGCUCAGGGUGACUUUGAAUAGCAUGGUAUGAUUCAAAUACAGAGGGGAAAUUUAAAAACCUGGACUCCACUGUCAUCUUCAUCAAAUAGAAGAGAAUGUAACACAGAGACAUGGCUACGAGUUCUCACCUUGAGUUCCUGAACCUCUCGGAGGGCCUGAAGCCGCUCUGCCCGCUCACUCUCCAGCGCCUGGCAGGCCACAUCUCCUUUGAAGCGUUCAUCAGCAAGCUCUGAGGUCAAGUACACGCUGCACACAGUAGGACCAUCCUAGGACAAACCACUUCUGGGGGAAAGGUGACAGACACAGGUGCCACCACCACAGGAGAGCAAAUGAAGACCCGGCCUCCAAGUACUUGUUGCUUUCUUCUUGGCUGUUUGGAAGACACCAGAGCCAGAAAACACAGGACUAUGAAGGAAGAGAAAAGGCAGCUGCUGUUCCAGUGGGUG
rnacentral:lncRNA from 1 species